UACGAAGGGGGCUAGCGUUGUUCGGAAUUACUGGGCGUAAAGCGUGCGCAGGCGGUGAUGUAAGACAGUUGUGAAAUCCCCGGGCUCAACCUGGGAACUGCAUCUGUGACUGCAUCGCUGGAGUGCGGCAGAGGGGGAUGGAAUUCCGCGUGUAGCAGUGAAAUGCGCAGAUAAUCAGGAGGAACACCCGUGGCGAAAGCGGCUCUCUGGGACGGUACUGACGCUGAGACGCGAAAGCGUGGGGAGCAAACAGG
rnacentral:rRNA from 1 species